rnacentral:rRNA from 1 species
CAGUAGCCGCGGGAAUGCGAAGGGGGCUAGCGUUGCUCGGAAUGACUGGGCGUAAAGGGCGCGUAGGCGGUUUGUACAGUUGGAUGUGAAAUUCCUGGGCUUAACCUGGGGGCUGCAUUCAAUACGUGCAGGCUUGAGUGGGGAAGAGGGUCGUGGAAUUCCCAGUGUAGAGGUGAAAUUCGUAGAUAUCCGAAGGAACACCUGUGGCGAAAGCGGCUCACUGGACAAUAACUGACGCUGAUGCACGAAAGCUAGGGGAGCAAACAGGAUUAGAUACCCGCGUAGUCCCUGUCUCUUAUAC